UUGAUGGAGGGAUGGAAAUUGUUGAAAUCAUGGUGGAAUUCCUCAAGGGCUUCUUUUCCAUGGGUCCAGAUGAUGCAGAUGCCAUCAAUGUAGCUCAAGUAGAGUAGGGGCAUUAGAACAAUGU